GUUCCAGUAGAUCUUCAAGCUACUCGCCGAGUCUGAAGAACAACUCGACGAGUCCUAGUGAACCUUCAAGCUACUCGCCGAGUCUGAAGAACAACUCGGCGAGUUCUAGUGAAUCUUCAAGCUACUCGCCGAGUCUGAUCAUUGGACUCGGCGAGUCCUCGCCAUGCAGUCAAUCCGCUGCCUCCUGUAUUUCGCAUGAUUUCGAAGUAUAUAGAUAUAGGGCUUCCUGGACUUUCACAUAUACUAUUACGGGGUUUUUUAACACUUAUAACAACAAUAUAAUCUAACUAACCCUUAAUUGGGUUUCCUAAACCCUAAACUCGCAUACAACGUAAAAGUUACAGAUUUCGAUCCGAAGAUUACCUGGAAACGUGUUCCCUGUGUCUCCAAACCUCCAGUACUCGAUUCCUUUGAUCACCACCUUGCUCCUCCUUGUCUAACAAUCUCUUCAAGCCUUCUCAAGUCCUCUCUCUUGCUUCAGAUGCUCACACACUCCCAGGGGAUCUUCAACCGGCCAAAAGACGCGACAUGACGGCCAUAAGAUCGUUAUAUACGAUCAGAAAUGAAACGGCUAGGGUUCAGCUGAACGGCGUCGACUCGCCGAGUCCCUUAUUGGACUCGUCGAGUCCAGUCGCGCGUCUGCGACCAAGACCAUGGCCCUACUCGGCGAGUCGUGCACCAACUCGCCGAGUCCCCUCCUAAAUGUGCCCCAAAAAUAAUUUAAAGAAAUACCUGAAAUUCCGGGCUGUUACAACUCUCCCCCACUAGAACUAGACUUCGCCCUCGAAGUCUCUCAUUCUGCGAAUAACUCCGGAUGUUGCUCCCGCAUUUCUCUUUCCGGCUCCCAAGUCAUCUCCGAUCCCUUCCGAUGUUGCCACUGAACCAACACCAGAGGUAUUUCCUUGUUCCGUAGAACCUUGAUCUUCCGAUCCCUGAUAGCUACUGGUCUCUCGGCGUAAUUCAGACUCGCAUCUACCUGGAUAUCUUCUAACGGAACCACUGCUGCCUCAUCGGCUAUACACUUCCUCAGCUGUGAUACGUGGAAGGUAUUGUGAAUCUGAUUCAGCUCCGCUGGCAACUCCAACCGAUAAGCUACCCGACCUACCCUUGCAAUUACCCGAAAUGGACCUAUGAACCGGGGCCCCAAUUUGCCCCUCUUCCUGAACCGAAUCACCCCUUUCCAAGGAGAAACCUUUAGGAGAACGAAGUCGCCGACCUGGAAUUCGAGCUCGGACCGGCGUCUGUCCGCAUAACUCUUCUGUCGGCUCUGGGCGGUCAAUAACCUCUGCCUCACCCGUUGGAUCUGUUCAGUCGUUUGAAGUACGAUCUCUGUACUGCCCAUCACUCUCUGUCCCACUUCUCCCCAGCAAAUGGGAGUCCGACACCUCCUACCAUACAACAACUCAAAAGGUGGCAUACCAAUGCUCGAAUGAUGGCUGUUGUUGUAGGAAAACUCAGCCAGCGGCAGAUGCGCAUCCCAGCUACCCCCGAAGUCUAACACACACGCUCUAAGCAUAUCUUCCAAUGUCUGGAUCGUCCGCUCGCUUUGACCGUCGGUCUGGGGAUGGUAUGCGGUACUAAAAUGCAGUUUAGUACCCAACUCCUCAUGGAAUUUCUUCCAGAACCUGGAAGUGAAACGUACAUCGCGGUCCGAAACAAUCGAGGUCGGCACUCCAUGCCGAGAUACUAUCUCUCUCACGUACAACUCCGCCAACUUCUCUGCUGAUGAACUUUCACUAAUGGCAAGGAAAUGUGCACUCUUUGUUAGUCUAUCCACAAUCACCCAAAUCGCAUCGACUCCCCUGGCAGUUUUCGGCAAUUUGGUGAUGAAAUCCAUCGUGAUCUGAUCCCACUUCCACUCAGGGAUCUCCAAGGGUUGCAACUUACCGUGCGGUCUCUGGUGCUCGGCCUUAACUUUACGGCAGGUCAAACACCUCUCCACGAACCACGCAACGUCUCUCUUCAUGCAAGGCCACCAGUACUCCUUUUUCAAAUCCAGAUACAUUUUCGUAGCACCGGGAUGGAUCGAGAAUUUCGAUCUAUGUGCCUCCUCCAUCAAAAUGACACGCGUACCGCCCACGAAUGGCACCCAGAUCCGACCCUGAAAUGUCAGAAGUCCCCGCCCAUCCGUAACGAACUCUGAAAUUAACCCGACGACCCGCUCCUGUUUCUGCAUCCCAGACUUCACAACCUCGGCCUGUGCCCCACGAAUAGUAUCUAAUACCGGAGUCACCACCGUCAAUCUCAAACAUACGUCCCGCAAUGGAGUACCCUCCGCCCUACGACUCAAUGCAUCGGCUACCACAUUAGCCUUGCCUGGGUGGUAUAGGAUCUCACAGUCAUAAUCCUUAACCACGUCUAACCAUCUCCUCUGGCGCAUGUUUAGGUUGGGUUGAUCCAUCAAAUACUUCAAACUCUUAUGGUCCGUGUAUAUGGUACAACGAACCCCGUACAGGUAGUGACGCCAAAUUUUGAGGGCGAACACUACUGCCCCCAACUCUAAGUCAUGCGUGGGAUAUCUCGCUUCGUGAGGCUUCAGCUGCCUCGAUGCAUAGGCUAUCACAUGGCCCCUCUGCAUCAACACUGCACCCAGUCCUGAAAUCGAUGCGUCGCAAUAUACGACGAAGUCCUCCAUCCCUUCAGGAAGGGCUAAUACUGGUGCUUCGCACAGUCUCUGACGAAGUGUCUCGAAGGAAGUCUGCUGCUCGGGUCCCCAUGAGAAUGUAACACCCUUUCGGGUCAAUUUGGUAAGUGGCACUGCGAUCUUGGAGAAGUCCCUAAUGAACCUUCGAUAGUACCCUGCCAACCCAAGGAAACUCCUGAUCUCCGAAGGUGACUUUGGUGCCUCCCAUCUCAUCACCGCCUCCACCUUGGCCGGAUCGACCAAUAUCCCUGCCUGAUUUACAACGUGCCCCAGAAAUUGAACCUCCCGUAACCAGAAGUCACAUUUGGAGAAUUUUGCAUAUAGCUUCUCCGACCUCAGUACCUCAAGGACCUCCCUCAAAUGUCCCUCAUGCUGCUCCCUAGACCGCGAAUACACCAGAAUGUCGUCGAUGAAUACAAUCACAGACCGAUCCAGCAUCGGCCUGCAUACCCUGUUCAUGAGAUCCAUGAACACUGCUGGGGCAUUGGUGAGCCCAAAAGGCAUCACCACGAACUCGUAAUGCCCAUACCGCGUCCUAAAGGCUGUCUUCUGGACGUCCUCAUCCCGCACCCUUACCUGAUGGUACCCUGAUCUCAAAUCAAUCUUGGAAAACCAAGAUGCCCCUUGCAACUGAUCGAAUAGAUCAUCGAUUCUUGGUAACGGAUAGCGGUUCUUAACUGUCACCUUGUUCAGUUCCCGGUAAUCGAUACACAUCCGGUGUGAACCAUCCUUCUUCUUGACGAACAGAAUCGGUGCUCCCCACGGCGAGCUACUCGGCCGAAUAAAUCCCUUCCCCAACAACUCUUGAAGUUGCGAGGACAAUUCUUGCAUCUCUGGAGGUGCAAGACGAUAAGGCACCUUCGCAAUAGGCGCCGCCCCUGGAACUAGGUCGAUACCAAACUCCACUUGCCUCGCAGGAGGUAUUCCCGGCAAAUCCUCGGGGAAAACAUCUGGAAACUCGCGCACCACUGGAACCUCCUGCAAUGUCUUCGGUCUCUCGGAACUCUCCCGCGUAUCCAUCACAUACGCCACAAAACCGUUACAUCCCCGCUGUAGGCAUUGCCUCGCCCUAGCAGCCGAACAAAAAGCUGAUCUCGAACGGGUACCCUCGCCGUACACCGUAAGAACUCCCCCACUAGGGUCUCGUAUAGUCACCAACUGACGCUCGCAGUCGAUGACAGCGCUGAAUCGGCUCAACCAGUCCAUGCCUACAAUGACACAGACAUCACCCAUCGCAAUAGGAAUUAGGUCAAUCGGAAAUGCGACCCCGAAGAUCUCUAGCACACAUCCCCGAAAAACCUCCGUAGCACAAAUCACCCUCUCAGCCGCAAUGGAAACGCUCAAAGGCCGACUUAACGGCUCACGACUAAUGCCGAUGUGCUGACUAAAAGCUAACGAUACAAACGAUCUACUCGCACCCGAAUCAAAUAAUACUAGAGCAGGCAUAGAGUUCACAAGGAAAGUACCUACACAUACAUUAACAUAAGCAUAACAUUUCGACCUUUAAUUAAAUACAUGAAAGAUAACAUACCUGCCACAACAUCGGGCGCAGCGCGGACCUCCUCCGCAGUCAGCUGAAAGGCUCUCCCGCGAGCCCUCGGGGCCUCGACCUUCACCGGUCGGGUCUCAGUAGUCCGGGUAGUAGGUGUAGCUCCCUGACGAAGUUGCGGGCACUCGGCCUUCCGAUGGCCUGUCUGGUUGCAGUGAAAGCAAACCAUAAACCCCUUAGGGCAAUCCCUGGCAAUAUGUCCCUCCUUGCCACACUUGUAGCAACCACCAGCUCGACACGCCCCCUCGUGACUCUUGCCGCACUUCGCGCAAGUGCGACCCUUCGAACCUCCCCUCCUCGAAUCAGCGAACUUAGUCCGCUUGGCUGCCGGCUGAGACUGGGCCGGCCGUCGAUCCACCUGCCGAGACUCAGCCUCCUCCCUCGCUUGAGUCUCCAACUCAAUCUCGCGCUUCCUGGCGUUCGCCUGAAGCUCAGUGAAAGUACGAUAGGUGGAGUUUGACACAAACUCCCGAAUCUCCCUCUUCAAAACACCCAAAUAGCGGCUCAUCCGCGACUGCUCCGUAGAUACCAGCUCGGGGCAGAACAUUGCCCUCUCAUGAAACUUCCGUGUGAUCACUGCCACGGAAUCAGUACCCUGCUUAAGGGUCAAGAACUCCUGAAUCAACCGCUCCCUCUCUACCGGGGGAACGUACUCAUCCCUGAACAUCUCCGUAAACCUCUCCCAUGUCACCGCCGUAAUCUCUGCCUGAGUGAAGUUCGCCGUCACGAACUUCCACCAAUCCUUCGCUCCCAGACGGAGCUGGUUCAAGGCGAACCGUACCCUCAAGUGCUCCGGGCAUGAGCAAGUAUAGAAGCACCCCUCGAUGUCGGCGAUCCACCUCAUAGCUGCAAUCGGAUCCUGCGUCCCAUCAAAUUCAGGGGGUUUCGUGUUGCUGAAUUCCCUGAAUGGUAAUGAAUCACCCCCUUGCGGCCUGGCAGCAGCCACCGCUGCGGUAGCGGCAGCAACUGCAGCUUCAGAAAUUGCGGCGCACCGCUCCUCAAACUCCUCCAUCAACGUGGUCUUAAUAGACCCAAACAUCUCCGGGAUCUCAGCCCGGACCGCCGCAGCUACCUCUUCCUGAAUAAUCUGACGAAUCUCCUCGUCACUCGCACCGCUCGAACUCGCCCCAUUGCGUGUGAUAACCAUGAUGUCUCUGAAAUACAACAUAAAAUCAUCAGAGACUCCACCAAGUACAAUUGUACUCAAUACGCGCCCUACCCAGUCUCCGAUUUCCAGGGAUUCUUAUUUGAGUCUUCCACUGAUCCGGUGCCUUCGGUAGUACGGGCCCAAUACUACCGACCACACCGUAUCAGUAUUCGUCCCAAAUCUUCCUCCCCAAAUCCCGAAUAACGGGUACUCUACUUCUAGUAUGUACUAUUUACUUGCACGCUACCAAAUAUCUCAUAUAAGCAAUCUCCCUAGACUAAGGCAUCACAAAACAGGCAAUUCUAUUCCUAUCAUGUAUACCUAGUCUUCUAGCAUGCAUAACAAUUCAUAAUUCAGUGCAUAACAUAACAUCGUAAGGUAUUCUGGGGAUCUUUACCGUUCGGACGCUGGCUGCUCGUACACACUGUUCCACCCUUGUUUUUACCGCCUUGCCCUUUAUAAAAUGUUAUGUCCUUAUUAUUUUUAAGAAAAAGUUUUUCCUCAAAUCCCCGGUCUGAGUUCAGUUGCACCCAAAAGUACACCCGAAUCCCUCAAACCAAGGCUCUGAUACCAAUUGUAACAGCUCAAAUUUUCAAAUAAAUUUUUCGUUAAAAAUAAAACAUCAUUAUUCGACAAAAGGGUUUAUUCCAAGUUUAUUUCAAAAUAAAAAUAAUAAAUCUCCAGGAUCUCCAACAGUGGCAGUGUGUACGUGUCACGCCGGCGCCUUCCCACGGUCAUCACUAGUACCUGAAAAACAUAAACACAACUAGUAAGCAUAAAUGCUUAGUGAGUUCCCCAGUAUACGACUUACCCACAUACGCCUUCCGGCCCGGACCUUUCGGUCCACAUAAUAUUGCCUUCCGGCCCGGACCUUUCGGUCCACAUAACAUUGCCUUCCGGCCCGGAUCUUUCGAUCCACAUAACAUUGCCUUCCGGCCCGGAUCUUUCGAUCCACAAGAUAAUUGCCUUCCGGCCCAUACACAUAUAUAACACAUAACACAAAUACUCUAACACAUAAAGCACAUAUAUCAUACCGUUCUUUCUAACACAUAAAGUCUCGCCUUCCGGCCCGUAUAAUCAUACAUCACAUAUAAGCACACAUCGCAUAUAAAGCAUCUAUCUCUCUAGACAUAGCAUGAAUAUAACACACACGACCUUCCGGUCUAACAGUCAAACCCUUCCGGGUGAAGUAUAGUGAGAAGACUCACCUCGUAGUACGCAGGCUAUAACCUCUUCGAGCUACUCGCACACAAUCCGCUAGUCCGCAGGUUCCCUAUAAUACCACAGCCUUAGUUAAUGAUCUUAUCAAACAAGACAACUGACCCCUCUAAGAUAUAUACAGGUCAACGGUCAAUCUUGACCGGACUCGUCGAGUGCAAAGGGUAACUCGACGAGUAUAGACAUCCUGACACCACUCGCCGAGUCUGAAGAACGACUCGACGAGUUCCAGUAGAUCUUCAAGCUACUCGCCGAGUCUGAAGAACAACUCGACGAGUCCUAGUGAACCUUCAAGCUACUCGCCGAGUCUGAAGAACAACUCGGCGAGUUCUAGUGAAUCUUCAAGCUACUCGCCGAGUCUGAUCAUUGGACUCGGCGAGUCCCCGCCAUGCAGUCAACCCGCUGCCUCCUGUAUUUCGCAUGAUUUCGAAGUAUAUAGAUAUAGGGCUUCCUGGACUUUCACAUAUACUAUUACAGGGGUUUUAAACACUUAUAACAACAAUAUAAUCUAACUAACCCUUAAUUGGGUUUCCUAAACCCUAAACUCGCAUUCAACGUAAAAGUUACAGAUUUCAAUCCGAAAAUUACCUGGAAACGUGUUUCC
rnacentral:lncRNA from 1 species